UUUCUCUAAAAAAUACUUUUCUGCAGUUUUCUCUUUGAUAAUUCUUAAAGGAAGUUAUUAAAGAAAGCGAAACUAUUACAUUUCAGCUAGCAGUUGCAAUGUCUGAUCUAAAUGGAUCAUUGGCAGUCUCAAAAAAUCACCAGUUUAGAGGGUGCCCAUUGUCAGCAGGAAGAAAAGACUUUACUGUUCCUUUAAAUAUGCACUUAAUAACUUAAAUCCGUGCCCUUUUUAUUGAGCUGUAUAUCCUAGAUAGAUGAUAGUUGUAUCGGUCUGCUCUCUCUGCUUGGUAAGGAUUAUUACUGGGGAGAACAAGCUGUCUGUUUUAUCAUUCCCAGGAUAAAUGCGUCACACUUCUUAAAUGAGCCUCAAGAUUAAAAAAGACAAUUAAAUCUAAAACUCGUAUUGCAGGGCAAAUUGCAGAGAUCCGGGACCUAGUAUUAUGAGAUCAACCCAAAGUGAUGUACUAGUACUUGUAGCAUUUACCACAUUGUGAGCACAUUACCUGUGUAACUCUGCCACUCAAACAGUGAGCAUGUUGGUAGAACAUUUUCAAAUAUUUACUAUUUAUCAAAUAGUCCAAGAGUUUAAUUUCUUCCUAACUAGGAGCCGUAAGGGAUGGACUUCACAUCCGUCUCACAGCUGUCACCAAGCAGGCUGAAGCAGAUUCCUUGUAAUCCACAUCAUCCCAUGUCCUUCAGUAAUCAGACUAAAUGGCAGGAUCUAUAUAAUCUUCCUAUUUAUCUUUGACUCCUGUCAGUUGGCCAGACUGGAUGUCCCAUAGUUCCUGUCUCUGUUUUCCUGUCUUGUAGUUUCAAUGGCAAACUUCAUGCCCCAAGGCUUGUCAAUUAACUUGUCAACAAGCUUUAUGUCCUCAUAGCUUGAGUACCACACUGCCAUUGGAAAGACAGACUCUAGUCCCCAUAGGUUCUGUGUCACCCUGCCAUUGGAAGGACAGAAUCCAGUCCCCACAUGUUCUGUGUCACCCUGCCAUUGGAAGGACUGAAUCUAGUCCCCACAUGUUCUGUGUCACCCCACCAUUGGAAGGAUAGGCUUUAUUCCCACAGGUUCUGUGUCACCCUGCCAUUGGAAGGACAGAAUCUAGUCCCCAUAGGUUCUAUGUCACCCUGCCAUUGGAAGGACAGAAUCUAUCCCCACAGGUUCUGUGUCACCCUGCCAUUGGAAGGACAGAAUCCAGUCCCCACAGGUUCUAUGUCACCCUGCCAUUGGAAGGAUAGAAUCUAGUCCCCACAGGUUCUAUGUCACCCUGCCAUUUGAAGGACAGAAUCUAGUCCCCACAGGUUCUAUGUCACCCCGCCAUUGGAACGACAGAAUCCAGUCCCUACAUGUUCUGUGUCACCCCGCCAUUGGAAGGAUAGGUUUUAUUCCCACAGGUUCUGUGUCACCCUGCCAUUGGAAGGACAGAAUCUAGUCCCAACAGGUUCUAUGUCACCCUGCCAUUGGAAGGACAGAAUCUAGUCCCCACAGGUUCUAUGUCACCCUGCCAUUGGAAGGACAGAAUCUAGUCCCCACAGGUUCUAUGUCACCCUGCCAUUGGAGGGACAGAAUCCAGUCCCCAUAGGUUCUAUGUCACCCUGCCAUUGGAGGGACAGGAUCCAGUCCCCAUAGGUUCUAUGUCACCCUGCCAUUGGAAGGACAGAAUCCAGUCCCCACAUGUUCUGUGUCACCCCGCCAUUGGAAGGACAGAAUCCAGUCCCCACAUGUUCUGUGUCACCCCGCCAUUGGAAGGACAGAAUCCAGUCCCUACAUGUUCUGUGUCACCCCACCAUUGGAAAGAUAGGCUUUAUUCCCACAGGUUCUGUGUAACCCUGCCAUUGGAAAUGCAGGCUUUAUUCCCACAGGUUCUGUGUCACCCUGCCGUUAGAAGAAUAGGCUCAGUGUCCCAUAGCGUCUGUCUUUCUCCCUGUAGUUGGAAGGACAGGAUCUGUAUCUCCUAACCUUCCUCUGACACCGUGUUGGUUGGACUGGCCUUACAUCCCCUUGCAUUCUUUUGGCACGCUGUAGUUAGAGUACACUCAAUAUCGAAUUUCUUCCAUCUGUCACCAUGUAUUUGGAUGGAGACCCUUGCCACCUGGAAUCAUUUUUAGGAAAUAGUACGGCAUUUUGAAAUCUAUGUGAUAUAAUGUGUGAACCACGAGAUGUAAUUUUUUUUAAAGCACAUUCCCUGUAGUUUAAGAUUUUUGUUUUGGCUGCACCCCGUCCUUUCGCCAUUUUGUCACUAGCAGACAAUGUACCCGUCCUUACGUUUUACAUGUCCUGCGUUUCAGUGCUUCUCAAAAUCUAUGGGUUUUUAAUAACCAUAUAAAUGAAUGCUAUAUUUAAUCGGGAAUGUAUUUAAAACACUCAUAGCAAUCAAGUUUUCAUGUGUCUUCUCUGUGUAAUCCAGGCUUCUCUAUUCACCAAAGCAACGGAAGUAAACUACAGACGUUUUUAUUAAAGGUUGUUUUCUCUGUAUGUUAACUGGGAAUGUACAUACUCUGUAUUGUUAUACGGAACAACAUGUGGAAAUGUACCCAUGAUGCAACGGGUGUGUUUCCACCAUAUUGCUUUAAUGGCUGUGGACAAGUUACAUGUUCGUGCACCUAUUAAAUAGAUAUGUAUUUUAUUUUCAUUUUUUUAUUUUAUUUUUUUCGUCCUUUGAGCAAGGGUGAAAUAGUGCCAAAAGAAAUAUCCAAUUUACUGUAUAAAUCUCUAUAAAUAUAUAUAUACUGACGUAGGGCUUGCAGUGCAGAGCCCUUCCAAUGUAUUCCGUUUUUUAUUUUGCUUUUAUUUACAAUAAAAAAAGAUUGUUUAUAUUAAUACA